rnacentral:lncRNA from 1 species
GUCCCAAAGAAUUCACUUCAGUCUUCUACUGUCUUCAAGAUUGGAGGGUAAGUAUAAUGAUCAUCUUUCAUCUUUGCACUAAUUCGUUACGUUGGCUCAGGAAAAGGUGUACCUAACACAACUUGAUCGAACUUUAUGCAGGGUAUCUUUGAAAGAUUUGACAGGGAUAGGAGUGGAAGAAUCGAUUCAUGUGAAUUGAGGGACGCGUUACUUAGCAUGGGAUAUUCUGU